CAAAAACAUCAUUUAUGUUUUAUUAAGUUAGUUUUUGGUAAUAAGGAGAGCAACUGGGUAAAUUUAGAAACUGAGAUUGAAGGAUUUGCAGUUAGCUAUUUUAAUGAUUUGUUUUCCUCCUCGUCAACAUCCAAGGCUGAUUGUUUUUAGAGGAAGUUCCACAAUUGGUAACAGAUGCUUAGAAUAUUAGGUUACUGGCUCAGGCUUGGGAAGAAGAGGGCGAAGCUACGUUAGGGAGCAUGGUGGCACGUGCACCCAUAGUUAUUUUGAUAUCAAACAUUUUACAUGUAAAAACAGUAAAUUUUCAGUGGCUCAGAUGGUAAAACUAAGCAUGGUGCACCCAUAAUAUCACUGGUUCAAUUCCCCUUUCAUGUGUAUUUUAUUUUUAUUACUAGUGAUGCACCCAGUUAAGAAGACUUCUAGAUUCGCCCCUGAGAUGAGGCAAAUAUUAUUUAUGAUGCACUCUGAGAAAGCCUCGGAUCAAAUGGGAUGACAUCAUUGUUCUAUCAGCAAUCAUGGUCAAUAGUUAAAGAGGAUUAUGUAAUCACGUGUGAUCAC
rnacentral:lncRNA from 1 species